rnacentral:rRNA from 1 species
CCUACGGGAGGCUGCAGUGAGGAAUAUUGGUCAAUGUGCGGAAGCCUGAACCAGCCAAGUCGCGUGAGGGAAUAAGGCCCUACGGGUCGUAAACCUCUUUUGCCGGGGAGCAAGGGCGGGGACGUGUCCCGGCCCGGAGAUUACCCUGAGAAAAAGCAUCGGCUAACUCCGUGCCAGCAGCCGCGGUAAUACGGAGGAUGCGAGCGUUAUCCGGAUUUAGUGGGUUUAACGGGUGCGUAGGCGGGAUUUUAAGUCAGCGGUAAAAAUUCGGGGCUCAACCCCGUCCGGCCGUUGAAACUGGGUGCCUUGAGUGGGCGAGAAGAAGGCGGAAUGCGUGGUGUAGCGGUGAAAUGCAUAGAUAUCACGCAGAACCCCGAUUGCGAAGGCAGCCUUCCGGCGCCCUACUGACGCUGAGGCACGAAAGUGCGGGGAUCGAACAGGAUUAGAUACCCGUGUAGUC